GCCUGGGUGGCUCAGUUGGUUGAGUGUCUGACUUGAGCUCAGGUCAUGAUCUCAUGGUUCGUGGGUUCAAGCCCCACGAUGGGCU
rnacentral:tRNA from 1 species